GGAUGUGAAGGCAAUCUGGCUGUGACAUCUGUCACCCCAUUGAUCGCCAGGGUUGAUUUGGCUGACCUAGCUGGCUAGGUGUGUGUCCCCUUCCUCCCUCACUGCUCCAUGUGCAUCCUUCCUGAACCUGCAUGCUUGGCAUAAGAGGACAACCAUCCUUGAUAGAGGAAGACACGUCUUUGGUCAAGGGUAUACGAGUAGCUGUGCUCCCCUGCUAGAACCUCCAAACAAGCUCUCAAGGUCUAUUUGUAGGAGGAUGUGAGUAGUCAGGCUUCCAAGACUCCAGACACAUCCCAAUGAGGCACUGGAUGAGGCAGCAGUCUGCCUUUGUAU
ensembl:misc_RNA 7SK 7SK RNA